rnacentral:lncRNA from 1 species
AUUUGUCUACGUAAUUUAUCUUUACAUAUUUUACAAGCAAAGUCAAGUGACAAUAAACAGAUCAUUCUUGAUUUUUGCGGUUUCUCCUCUCCUGGUCAGGCUUCAUCUUUUAUCAUUUUCCCCUCCAGACUUUUAGUGGGGAACAGCUCUAAGGAGAAGAUUACAACUCCCAGUGGUUGGCCAGGGGAAAGAGCCAGCUUCUCAAACACAGGAAAUGAAUGAGAAAAACAAAGACAGCCUGGCA